GUCUACAGCCAUGCUGCCCUGAACAAGCCUGAUGUCUGAUAUCGGAAGCUAAGCAGGGCCGGGCUUGGUUAGUACUUGGAUGGGAGACCACCUAGGAAGACCAGGUUCUGUAGGCA
rfam:Pteropus alecto contig67226, whole genome shotgun sequence.